AAUAGAUACCCCGGUACGUCCACGCCGUAAACGAUGGAUGCUAGCUAUUGGGGGGGAAUCGACCCCCCUCCGAAGCGAAGCUAACGCGUUAAGCAUCCCGCCUGAGUAGUACGAGCGCAAGCUUAAAACUCAAAGGAAUUGACGGGGGACCCGCACAAGCGGUGGAGCGUGUGGUUUAAUUCGAUGGUAAACGAAGAACCUUACCAAGGUUUGACAUCCCGGUAGCCGUUCUCCGAAAGGAGAAUUUCAUUUAGUUGGACCGGUGACAGGUGAUGCAUGGCCGUCGUCAGCUCGUGUCGUGAGAUGUUGGGUUAAGUCCCGCAACGAGCGCAACCCUUAUGAUUUAGUUGGUAUUUUUUCUAAACAGACUGCCCUGGUAACAGGGAGGAAGGAGGGGAUGAUGUCAGGUCAGUAUUUCCCUUACACCGUUGGGGCGACACACGCGCUACAAUGGCCGGUACAAUGGGCAGCUAAGCCGCGAGGUGGAGCAAAUCCCAUCAAAGCCGGUCCCAGUUCGGAUUGCGAGGCUGAAACCCGCCUGCAUGAAGCCGGAAUCGCUAGUAACC
rnacentral:rRNA from 1 species